rnacentral:rRNA from 1 species
AUGCAAGUCGACGGUAGCACAGAGAGCUUGCUCUCGGGUGACGAGUGGCGGACGGGUGAGUAAUGUCUGGGAAACUGCCUGAUGGAGGGGGAUAACUACUGGAAACGGUAGCUAAUACCGCAUAACGUCGCAAGACCAAAGAGGGGGACCUUCGGGCCUCUUGCCAUCAGAUGUGCCCAGAUGGGAUUAGCUAGUAGGUGGGGUAACGGCUCACCUAGGCGACGAUCCCUAGCUGGUCUGAGAGGAUGACCAGCCACACUGGAACUGAGACACGGUCCAGACUCCUACGGGAGGCAGCAGUGGGGAAUAUUGCACAAUGGGCGCAAGCCUGAUGCAGCCAUGCCGCGUGUAUGAAGAAGGCCUUCGGGUUGUAAAGUACUUUCAGCGGGGAGGAAGGUGUUAAGGUUAAUAACCUUAUCCAUUGACGUUACCCGCAGAAGAAGCACCGGCUAACUCCGUGCCAGCAGCCGCGGUAAUACGGAGGGUGCAAGCGUUAAUCGGAAUUACUGGGCGUAAAGCGCACGCAGGCGGUCUGUCAAGUCGGAUGUGAAAUCCCCGGGCUCAACCUGGGAACUGCAUUCGAAACUGGCAGGCUGGAGUCUUGUAGAGGGGGGUAGAAUUCCAGGUGUAGCGGUGAAAUGCGUAGAGAUCUGGAGGAAUACCGGUGGCGA